rnacentral:tRNA from 1 species
GUAAGCAGCCCAGUUGGUCAAGGGCGCUAGAUUGUGGUUCUAGUACGGUUAACCAGACACAUCGCAGGUUCAAAUUCUGUCUUACACCCA